GCUUUGCAAUGGGGGAGCCUGCCAUAUGCGGGCUGAGAGGAGAUGUAUUCUCGACCCCUUGAACCUGAUCCGGGUCAUGCCGGCGUAGGAAAUUGCAUCACUUUUCAC
rnacentral:ncRNA from 2 species